rfam:Pan troglodytes isolate Yerkes chimp pedigree #C0471 (Clint) chromosome 13, whole genome shotgun sequence.
GCUGGGUGUGGUGGUGCACGCCUGUAAUCCCAUCUACUCAGGAGGCUGAGGCACAAGAAUUGCUUGAAUCCAGGAGGCAGAGGUUGCAGUGAGCUGAGAUUGUGCCACUGUACUCCAGCCUGGAUGACAGAGUGAGAUUCUGUCUCAA